rnacentral:rRNA from 1 species
ACGAACGCUGGCGGCAUGCCUAACACAUGCAAGUCGAACGAGACCUUCGGGUCUAGUGGCGCACGGGUGCGUAACGCGUGGGAACCUGCCCUUAGGUUCGGAAUAACUCCCCGAAAGGGGUGCUAAUACCGGAUAAUGUCUUCGGACCAAAGAUUUAUCGCCUUUGGAUGGGCCCGCGUUGGAUUAGCUAGUUGGUAGGGUAAAAGCCUACCAAGGCGACGAUCCAUAGCUGGUCUGAGAGGAUGAUCAGCCACACUGGGACUGAGACACGGCCCAGACUCCUACGGGAGGCAGCAGUGGGGAAUAUUGGACAAUGGGCGAAAGCCUGAUCCAGCAAUGCCGCGUGAGUGAUGAAGGCCUUAGGGUUGUAAAGCUCUUUUACCCGGGAUGAUAGUGACAGUACCGGGAGAAUAAGCUCCGGCUAACUCCGUG